rnacentral:rRNA from 2 species
GUCGAGCGAAUCGACGGGAGCUUGCUCCCUGAGAUUAGCGGCGGACGGGUGAGUAACACGUGGGCAACCUGCCUAUAAGACUGGGAUAACUUCGGGAAACCGGAGCUAAUACCGGAUACGUUCUUUUCUCGCAUGAGAGAAGAUGGAAAGACGGUUUACGCUGUCACUUAUAGAUGGGCCCGCGGCGCAUUAGCUAGUUGGUGAGGUAAUGGCUCACCAAGGCGACGAUGCGUAGCCGACCUGAGAGGGUGAUCGGCCACACUGGGACUGAGACACGGCCCAGACUCCUACGGGAGGCAGCAGUAGGGAAUCUUCCGCAAUGGACGAAAGUCUGACGGAGCAACGCCGCGUGAACGAAGAAGGCCUUCGGGUCGUAAAGUUCUGUUGUUAGGGAAGAACAAGUACCAGAGUAACUGCUGGUACCUUGACGGUACCUAACCAGAAAGCCACGGCUAACUACGUGCCAGCAGCCGCGGUAAUACGUAGGUGGCAAGCGUUGUCCGGAAUUAUUGGGCGUAAAGCGCGCGCAGGUGGUUCCUUAAGUCUGAUGUGAAAGCCCACGGCUCAACCGUGGAGGGUCAUUGGAAACUGGGGAACUUGAGUGCAGAAGAGGAAAGUGGAAUUCCAAGUGUAGCGGUGAAAUGCGUAGAGAUUUGGAGGAACACCAGUGGCGAAGGCGACUUUCUGGUCUGUAACUGACACUGAGGCGCGAA